rnacentral:lncRNA from 1 species
AUCUAAUCUUCACCUCAUUUCCAUGGUGCAUUUAUCAAUGUUAAAUAUGUCGACAACUAUGGGUCAUGGCCUUCAACAAUGAGCCAAACCCUACAGCAUAAUCUGGUAUUGAAGGGUUUAUCAAACCUUGGAACUAAUUUUUGUCUAGCCUUGACUGAGUCAAAAAGCAAGACCGUAUGUGGUUUCUGGUAGCGGUGGCAGGGUCAUUCAUCAAUGAAAUAACUUGUAGAUGUCUAGUUUAUGGUGAACAACUAGUGGUAUGUAAAUGAUAUUUGGUAUGCAGUUGUGUAAGUAUUUGGCCCUCUCCCCUCAGUGAAUUAGACUUGUGGUCUAUUGACUGAAACUAUUGCUUAGUUGACAUGUAUUAAGUUUGUGAUUAGGUCAGUUCAAGGAGAACCAUUUAUGGAAGGCCAAUGUCGAUGUGUAUGCAGUUGUAUAAGCAUUGGCACAUCUCAUUUCCAUGGAGAAAGUUUGGUCCUGUCCCCUCAUCAAGGUCUAAUGACUGAAACUUUUGCUUUGUUUAUAUGUAUUUAUUUGUGAUUAGGUCAGUUUAAGAUGAACUGCCAACAGGAGUCCAUGAUAUUUGGUUUGAAAAUUUAUUGGCACUUGCAUGUCUUGUUUCCAUGGAGAUUAUAUAGCCCACACCCUCUUCAUGUUUCAUUUACUGAAACCUUUACAUAGUUUACAAGUUAAUGCUUGUUUACAUUUAAAGAGAACAAGUCCAUGGUAUUUGGUAUGCAGUUGUAUUAGCAUUAGCAUCUCAAUUCCAUGGAGAUUGUUCAGUCAAGGUUCAUUGGCUUUGAAUAUUUGUUUAUCUUAAAGUAUUGCUAUUUUAAUUAACAACAUUUACAUUAUUACAAAAAGGCGAG